rnacentral:rRNA from 2 species
CCUACGGGCGGCAGCAGUGGGGAAUAUUGCGCAAUGGGCGAAAGCCUGACGCAGCGACGCCGCGUGAGGGAUGAAGGUUUUCGGAUCGUAAACCUCUGUCAGAAGGGAAGAAACCGCACCGUGCUAAUCAGCGGUGUCUUGACGGUACCUUCAAAGGAAGCACCGGCUAACUCCGUGCCAGCAGCCGCGGUAAUACGGAGGGUGCAAGCGUUAAUCGGAAUUACUGGGCGUAAAGCGCACGUAGGCUGCUUUGUAAGUCAGGGGUGAAAUCCCACGGCUCAACCGUGGAACUGCCUUUGAUACUGCUUAGCUUGAAUCCGGGAGAGGGUGGCGGAAUUCCAGGUGUAGGAGUGAAAUCCGUAGAUAUCUGGAAGAACACCGAUGGCGAAGGCGGUCUGCUGGCUUGUAACUGACCCUCAGGGACGAGAGCGUGGGUAGCAAACAGGAUUAGAUACCCUAGUAGUC